CCUCUUGGGGUAAAACAUGGCUUUCAAUACUUGGUGUUUAUGAAUGGUCCGGCUGCCAUCCAAUGCCCCCAGAGUUUUGGCUCUUGCCUUCUUAUUUUCCCGUUCAUCCAGCAAAGAUGACUUGUUACUGUCGGGUCACAUACAUGCCUAUGUCGUAUUUGUAUGGAAGAACAUUUGUGGGUCCCAUCACACCUCUUAUUUUACAGUUAAGAGAAGAACUCCACAUUGA